AAAUUGAAGAGUUUGAUCAUGGCUCAGAUUGAACGCUGGCGGCAGGCCUAACACAUGCAAGUCGAACGGUAACAGGAAACAGCUUGCUGUUUCGCUGACGAGUGGCGGACGGGUGAGUAAUGUCUGGGAAACUGCCUGAUGGAGGGGGAUAACUACUGGAAACGGUAGCUAAUACCGCAUAACGUCGCAAGACCAAAGAGGGGGACCCUCGGGCCUCUUGCCAUCGGAUGUGCCCAGAUGGGAU
rnacentral:rRNA from 1 species